CUGCACAAAACAGCAUGGCUCCCGCAAUUGUGCACUGUGUGACGUCGAGCUCAACAGAGCACCGGAGAAGCUUCUACAAAGAAGUAUUCGCCACAUAAACUGCAGAGGCUGCCUUGCAAGGAGUAGCUGCGAACCCAUUUCUGAUACAACUGUGUGCUCUGCCACGUCGAGCUCCAUGAAGCUUCCACAUCGAGGCAGACCGUUCAGCACAUAAACUGCAGAGGCUGCCUUGCAAGGAGUACCUGCGAACCGUGUGCUGGUCAACGUUGAGCCAAGCGAGCACUACACAAACACCAGUACGCGGGAGCAUUCGCCACACAAACUGCAGAGCAAGGACGCUCCGUUUGAGUUCUGUAUGACGCCGAGCUGAACGGCUUCUCCACAGUAGCCUUCGCUACAUAAACUACAGAAUGUCCGUCACAGAUGUGUGCUGUGCCACGUCGAGCUCCACGGAGCUUCCAGAUCAAGAAAGACCGUUCACCACAUAAACUGCAGCAUGUCUGAUACAGCCACGUCCUGUGCCACGUCGAGCGCCACGAAGCUUCCACAUCGAGAGAGACCGUUCGACGCAUAAACUGCAGGUGUGCUGGUCAACGUUGAGCCAAGCGAGCACUACACGAACACUAGUACGCGGGAGUAUUCGCCACACAAACUGCAGCCCCGUCCUGUGCCACGUCGAGCUCCACGGAGCUUCCACAUCGAGAGAGACCGUUCAACGCAUAAACUGCAGGUGUUCCAUGACCGUUCCGGCCCCCCUACCACCGGAGCUUCCCACCCUUGCCACCUGCACGUCGGCUGCCACCCCCGUUCCCGCCACUAUCUGGGCACCUUUCGCGCCCGCCGUUCCGUCCACGGCCGUCCUCCCUGACGUAUACGGGUUUGAAAAUGAGUGGCGGCGUACAGAACACGGAACUCGGAUGAAGACGGCGUGUGGCGCGAUCGCCGGGGUGGACUAUGCGCCUGGCGUUUUCUGUUCCUGCAUAUUGCAAAAAUAAAAAAACGGAUUUUCUUUCAGUCGUUAUUACCGGCUCGUUUCGA